rnacentral:rRNA from 1 species
AUUGAACGCUGGCGGCGUGCUUAACACAUGCAAGUCGAGCGGAAAGGCCCUUCGGGGUACUCGAGCAGCGAACGGGUGAGUAACACGUGAGUAAUCUGCCCCUCACUCAGGGAUAACCGCGGGAAGCUGCGGCUAAUACUUGAUAUGACCACGUCUCGCAUGGGGUGUGGUGGAAAGCGUUUAGUGGUGAGGGAUGUGCUCGCGGCCUAUCAGCUUGUUGGUGAGGUAGUGGCUCACCAAGGCGUCGACGGGUAGCCGGCCUGAGAGGGUGACCGGCCACACGUGGACUGAGACACGGCCCAGACUCCGACGGGAGGCAGCAGUGGGGAAUAUUGGACAAUGGGCGAAAGCCUGAUCCAGCAACGCCGCGUGAGGGAUGACGGCCUUCGGGUUGUAAACCUCUUUCACCUCUGACGAAGCGCAAGUGACGGUAAGGGGAGAAGAAGGACCGGCCAACUACGUGCCAGCAGCCACGGUAACAC